rnacentral:lncRNA from 1 species
GAGGGUGGCGGCCAGGAGUGGGUCACUCAUGCCACAGCAGCGCCGCCCUGAGUCUCCAAUAUGCACCACCGUGUCAGACCCCUUUGCUCCUCCUGUUUCUCUGCCGCUCCUACCAGACGGCCCCAUCGCAGCCUCCGGUGCGCUGCUCAACUGUCCCGACUCGCCAGACUCCUGCAUUUACCAGGUUUAGCCUUCCUUCUGUGACUCAUUGCUAUUCUGAUGAUGACGGUGCUAUGUGCCAGAAAGCUGUGCGAGCAUUACUUGUUGGGCCAUGCACUUUGGCAUUCCUUGAGUAGAUGAUAUAUGCUGAAAGAGUAUGCAGCCUAGCAUGCAUCUGAUGCAGGACUGUGAGCUGCCUACAGAAGGUACAAAAUAAACAAGGUUUCCAGCGUCACUUCAUUCAGGAACAACAUCAUACAGAGCGUUUGUGAGCGGCAGCUGCGCACCUGGCUGCGCAGGAGGCCUGUCUUCUCGGAGGCAUCCAUGGCUGAAGAGCUUGCUGCCGCAUGGUUAAAGCCGUUGUGCAGCACCUCGUGUGCACUGCCGCCGCUGCUGCUUCGCACAUGAUGCUGCGCAGGAUCAGGGAGUGAGCACAGAACUCUGAGCCAUUCUCCCUAGUUGGACCACAAUGCUUCUGGAAUGGCAGCUUCAGCAUUGUACCAUCAGAGGUGAGCUGAGGCCGCAAUUUGAGGAGCAUGCAUGCGGCACACCUGGGACAUCAGAGUUGGCGGGGGCGCCUCCCUCCUCUGGCCCACAUGAAAGGUGCUGAUGCCAUCUGAUG